rnacentral:rRNA from 1 species
GAUGAACGCUGGCGGCAUGCCUAACACAUGCAAGUCGAACGGGAAGUGGUGUUUCCAGUGGCGGUCGGGUGAGCAACGCGCAAGAACCUGCCCUAGGGAGGGGAACAACAGCUGGAAACGGCUGCUAAUACGCCGUAGGCAGAGGAGCAAAAGGGGGAAUCUGCCUGAGGAGGGGCUGGCGCCUGAUUAGCUAGUUGGUGAGGCAAUAGCUUACCAAGGAGAUGAACAGUAGCUGGUCCGAGAGGAAGAUCGGCCACACUGGGACUGAGGCACGGCCUGGACAACUUUGGAAGGUAGCAGUAAGGAAGAUUCAGCAAUGCGGGGUAGGCUGAGGAGGCAUUGCCGCGGGAAGGUAGAUGUGCUGGGAGUGAAAAGCUUCUUUUCAAGACGAAGAAGCAAUGACGGUACCUGGAGAAUAAGCACCGGCUAACUCUGUG